GACGAACGCUGGCGGCAUGCCUAACACAUGCAAGUCGAGCGAGCAGAUCCCUUCGGGGUGAAGCUAGCGGCGGACGGGUGAGUAACACGUGGGCAACCUACCUCAUAGAGGGGAAUAGCCUUCCGAAAGGAAGAUUAAUACCGCAUAAGAUUGUAGCUUCGCAUGAAGCAGCAAUUAAAGGAGCAAUCCGCUAUGAGAUGGGCCCGCGGCGCAUUAGCUAGUUGGUGAGGUAACGGCUCACCAAGGCGACGAUGCGUAGCCGACCUGAGAGGGUGCUCGGCCACAUUGGGACUGAGACACGGCCCAGACUCCUACGGGAGGCAGCAGUGGGGAAUAUUGCACAAUGGGGGAAACCCUGAUGCAGCAAUGCCGCGUGAGUGAUGACGGCCUUCGGGUUGUAAAGCUCUGUCUUCGGGGACGAUAAUGACGGUACCCGAGGAGGAAGCCACGGCUAACUACGUGCCAGCCGCCGCUGUAA
rnacentral:rRNA from 1 species